UAUUCCCUCUUUUCUCCUCUAGGUGGUAAACCUGGUUUUAGAGAGGGACUUGAUGAGCCUACCCAGGGUUUCUCUCAGUGCAGACACCAGCAGCAGCAGUGUUUCCAAUCAAAGCAUCAGUCCAGCUACCAGCCCACUAAGGAUCAACAGCCACUCGACCAUCAGUACUCCUGCAAACACGAUUUCUGACCGGCCUAGGGACUACAGCUUUGUCAAUGAUGGCAUCACAGACAGGAUGAUCCUGUUUUAAUACAGAGUCAAUGGUGUCCCUUUUAGAAGUUAUCAUCUUGGCAACCAUUAACCGAAGACAUCUGAUGGCAAAAUAGCCAAUGUCCAUUGACAUCUAAACCUUCAAAAUGUCCCUCCUACCCAUUUCUGUACAGACCUGUAUUGCUGCUCAUUGUAUGUACCUUUAUGUAUAUAUCUGUCACUGAAUAAAGUUACUGAACUGAA